AGAGUUUGAUCCUGGCUCAGGACGAACGCUGGCGGCGCGCCUAACACAUGCAAGUCGAACGAGCGAGAGAGAGCUUGCUUUCUCGAGCGAGUGGCGAACGGGUGAGUAACGCGUGAGGAACCUGCCUCAAAGAGGGGGACAACAGUUGGAAACGACUGCUAAUACCGCAUAGGCCCACGGCUCGGCAUCGAGCAGAGGGAAAAGGAGCAAUCCGCUUUGAGAUGGCCUCGCGUCCGAUUAGCUAGUUGGUGAGGUAAUGGCCCACCAAGGCAACGAUCGGUAGCCGGACUGAGAGGUUGAACGGCCACAUUGGACUGAGACACGGCCCAGACUCCUACGGGAGGCAGCAGUGGGGAAUAUUGCACAAUGGGGGAAACCCUGAUGCAGCGACGCCGCGUGGAGGAAGAAGGUCUUCGGAUUGUAAACUCCUGUUGUUGAGGAAGAUAAUGACGGUACUCAACAAGGAAGUGACGGCUAACUACGUGCCAGCAGCCGCGGUAAAACGUAGGUCACAAGCGUUGUCCGGAAUUACUGGGUGUAAAGGGAGCGCAGGCGGGAAGACAAGUUGGAAGUGAAAUCUAUGGGCUCAACCCAUAAACUGCUUUCAAAACUGUUUUUCUUGAGUAGUGCAGAGGUAGGCGGAGUUCCCGGUGUAGCGGUGGAAUGCGUAGAUAUCGGGAGGAACACCAGUGGCGAAGGCGGCCUACUGGGCACCAACUGACGCUGAGGCUCGAAAGUGUGGGUAGCAAACAGGAUUAGAUACCCUGGUAGUCCACACCGUAAACGAUGAUUACUAGGUGUUGGAGGAUUGACCCCUUCAGCGCCGCAGUUAACACAAUAAGUAAUCCACCUGGGGAGUGCGACCGCAAGGUUGAAACUCAAAGGAAUUGACGGGGGCCCGCACAAGCAGUGGAGUAUGUGGUUUAAUUCGACGCAACGCGAAGAACCUUACCAAGUCUUGACAUCCUGCGAUGAUGCUGGAAACAGUAUUUUCCUUCGGGACGCAGAGACAGGUGGUGCAUGGUUGUCGUCAGCUCGUGUCGUGAGAUGUUGGGUUAAGUCCCGCAACGAGCGCAACCCUUAUUGUCAGUUACUACGCAAGAGGACUCUGGCAGGACUGCCGUUGACAAAUCGGAGGAAGGUGGGGAGGACGUCAAAUCAUCAUGCCCUUUAUGACUUGGGCUACACACGUACUACAAUGGCGUUAAACAAAGAGAAGCAAGACCGCGAGGUGGAGCAAAACUCAGAAACAACGUCCCAGUUCGGACUGCAGGCUGCAACUCGCCUGCACGAAGUCGGAAUUGCUAGUAAUCGUGGAUCAGCAUGCCACGGUGAAUAAGUUCCCGGGCCUUGCACUCACCGCCCGUCA
rnacentral:rRNA from 1 species